rnacentral:rRNA from 1 species
ACGCACGCUGGCGGCGUGCUUCACACAUGCCAGUCGAACGGUGAAGCGCCUUCCUUUUUGGUGGGUGUGGAUGAGUGGCGAACGGGUGAGUAACACGUGAGUAACCUGCCCCCUUCUUCUGGAUAACCGCAUGAAAGUGUGGCUAAUACGGGAUAUUCUGGGUCUGUCGCAUGAUGGGUCUGGGAAAGAUAUUGUUUCGGUGGGGGAUGGGCUCGCGGCCUAUCAGCUUGUUGGUGGGGUGAUGGCCUACCAAGGCGGUGACGGGUAGCCGGCCUGAGAGGGUGGACGGUCACACUGGGACUGAGACACGGCCCAGACUCCUACGGGAGGCAGCAGUGGGGAAUAUUGCACAAUGGGCGCAAGCCUGAUGCAGCGACGCCGCGUGAGGGAUGGAGGCCUUCGGGUUGUGAACCUCUUUCGCCAGUGAAGCAGGCCUGCCUCGUUUGUGGGUGGGUUGACGGUAGCUGGAUAAGAAGCGCCGGCCAACUACGUG